CCCCCACGGGAUACAGCAGUGACUAACAUUAAGCCAUAAACGAAAGUUUGACUGAGUCAUAAUUUAAUAGGGUUGGUAAAUUUCGUGCCAGCCACCGCGGUCAUACGAUUAACCCAAAUUAACAGACCACCGGCGUAAAGCGUGUUUAAGUAUAAUACUCUAAUAAAGUUAAAACCUAACUAAACUGUAAAACGUUAUAGUUAAUACCAAAAUAUGCAACUAAAGUGACUUUAAUCUACACUGAACACACGAUAGCUAAGACACAAACUGGGAUUAGAUACCCCACUAUGCUUAGCCCUAAACCCAAAUAGUUAAAAAACAAAACUAUUCGCCAGGGAACUACUAGCUAAUGCUUAAAACUCAAAGGACUUGGCGGUGCCCUAAACCCACCUAGAGGAGCCUGUUCUAUAAUCGAUAAACCCCGAUAAACCCCACCUCUUCUUGCCAAUACAGCCUAUAUACCGCCAUCGUCAGCUCACCCCAAUAGGGACCCAAAGUAGGCAAAACUAUAUAAUCAUAAAAACGUUAGGUCAAGGUGUAGCAAUGAAGAGGGAAGCAAUGGGCUACAUUUUCUAAACUAGAACAUAACGA
rnacentral:rRNA from 1 species